rnacentral:rRNA from 1 species
UGGUGGAGUGAUUUGUCUGGUUAAUUCCGAUAACGAACGAGACUCUGUCCUGCUAACUAGUUGCGCCGCUCUUUGUCGCGGCGGAACGUCUUCUUAGAGGGACUGGUGGCGUCUAGUCACACGAGAUUGAGCAAUAACA